UACAGUAGAAAUCAUUCGCACGCUCUCUGAUCAUCUUCCUAUAAAAAGCACAUUCAUCUUGAGUUUCGACACAGGCAGGCAGCCACAAUAGCAAUGGAAAUCUAUUCCUACUUGUUGGCAUUCAUCAUUUUUCAUGGGAUGAUACUAUCACAAACCAGUUGCAUGGUUAAUGCCAUAUCAUUUAAACUACCACCCGGAAUACGACCACCACCAAGACUACCACCAUUACCACCACUACGACGUCGACCAUUACCGCCACGACAACGUCCACAACGACCACGUCGACCAUCACCACGGCCACCACCACCACCACCACAUCGACCAUCACUACAUAAAAAAAAACCUAUUAUUCAUCCAGCACCAUGACCACCACCACCGAAAGUACUCAAUGAUGGCCUUCAUACUAGUCUUCCUCCACCACCAACAAAGUUUUCCUUGGCCUUUGUUUUUUCUUCCUAGUUUGUAGGUUUGUGUGUUUCAAUAAGGCGAAACUUUGUUAUCCCUUGUACAAUGUCUAAUUUCGUGCACUUGUGCAGUGCUCAUGGCUAUAGCAUGACUCUGAGCUCGCAAUAAAGCAUAUUGUAAUAGGGAGCUCUAGUCCUCUAUAGCUCCCUAUUGAUUGUGAAAUUUCUUUGCCAAACAUAAAAUGUUUUUUUGUUGUCUGUCUUACAAUUAGAUCUUCAAUACCAAAUUAGGGUAGCACUACAAUAAGGUUUGUUUAUUUAAUAAUCUUUGAUUUUAUUAAAAAUAUGGCUAUUUAAACAGUAGUCGAAACUAAAAUAGGGUUUCUAUUCCAUAGGUACCGAUGAUUAAAACAGUAAUU
rnacentral:lncRNA from 1 species